rnacentral:rRNA from 1 species
UACGUAGGGGGCAAGCGUUGUCCGGAAUCAUUGGGCGUAAAGAGCGUGUAGGCGGCCCGGUAAGUCCGCUGUGAAAGUCCAGGGCUCAACCCUGGAAUGCCGGUGGAUACUGUCGGGCUCGAAUCCGGAAGAGGUGGGUGGAAUUCCUGGUGUAGCGGUGAAAUGUGUAGAUAUAUGGAAGAACACCAAUAACGGCGAAGGCAGUUAACUAUUCUGUUACUGACAUUGAGGCACGAAAGCGUGGGGAGCAAAACGG